GUGCCAGCCGCCGCGGUAAUACGUAGGGGGCGAGCGUUGUCCGGAGUUACUGGGCGUAAAGGGCGUGUAGGCGGCCUGUUAAGUCAGGUGUGAAAUUCCGGGGCUUAACUCCGGAGCUGCGCUUGAAACUGGCAGGCUAGAGGGCAGGAGAGGGAAGUGGAAUUCCCGGUGUAGCGGUGGAAUGCGUAGAUAUCGGGAGGAACACCAGUGGCGAAGGCGGCUUCCUGGACUGUACCUGACGCUGAGGCGCGAAAGCUAGGGGAGCAAACAGGAUUAGAUACCCUGGUAGUCCUAGCCGUAAACGAUGAGUGCUAGGUGUGGGGGGUUAAAAUCCCUCCGUGCCGGAGUUAACACAAUAAGCACUCCGCCUGGGGAGUACGGCCGCAAGGCUAAAACUCAAAUAAAUUGGCGG
rnacentral:rRNA from 1 species